rnacentral:lncRNA from 7 species
AUGUCUUCCUUGCGCUGGUUUCCCCAGGCCUGGACACAGCGCUCCAGAUGGAGCCUUACAAGGCUGAGUAGAGGAGGACGAUCACCUCCCUGUCCCUGCUGGACACCCCUCUGUUGUACCAUUGGCCACCCAGGCUACAGGAGCGCAGUGCUGGCUCACGGCCGGCUCUUAUUCCCUCAGGACCCCCAGCUAAAUCCCCUUUCCACAGUGGAGAACCUCUGCACACGAGAUCUUCUCUUUGUAUCAAACACACAUUUCAGGACCCCCCAGAACACUUUGUACUUGCCCAUGUACUUCCUUUGCUGCAUGAAAGUAUGCUGUAGGCUGUAUGAAAGAAAGAAACAUACUAAUGGAAAACAACCGAGCACAAGCUUAGAGUGGGAUACAUUAGAAGUCACCUGCGGAGAGAGAUGGAGUCUUUGUGAUUACUGGAGGUUGAGGAGGAAGAAGUCGACUUGAGAUUUUUUUCCGUGAGUUUGAGUAUGUAAGGAAGAGGAGAGGCCUCUGCCGCGGACUCUGGAGAAAGCAGUCCUGACCCACCCAGGUGGGUCCAUUGUAAAGUGGCAGGAGUGCUUGGUUUCACUUUUAGAAUGUGACAUCUCUCUUAGCAUCUCUCCACUUCAUCUCCCUGGGCUUUCAGGGAACACAGAGAUGCUAUGGGAGAGAUGUGCAUCCUGCAGGGCAGCUCACCAGCUUGGAAGGACAUCUCUCUUCGAGAGAGAGCCAAGUGUCCUCGUGAUGGCAUCUCAUUCAGAGAAAUUCAGCUCCUUCCCAGCCUCACAGACUGUGCUGUCCACAGCCCCGAGCAGCUGCUCUCAGCCCCCGUGCGCUGCAGAAGGAAAUGAGCUCAGGCCUGGAGAGAUGCAGCUCUGCUCUGCUGCAGAGGAGGCGCUUCAUGCCUUGGACCCCGCUGCCAUGAAGGCAGAGGUGUUUCUGGGUGGGAGAGGAUGCAAGGGGGCUUGCUCAGAAGAAGUGGCCGCCACAGGCCCUUCGGGAAACUGCCUGCUUGCAGGGCAGUAUCCGUGUGCAUGCUUCUCUUUGCAGGUAUAAGCAGACACAUCAGAAAGCCAGAAUGGGAUCAACAGAGCUGUUGCUUGAUCUGUCCAUCGAGUGAGGAAAGGCUGAUGGAACACGAGGAUGCUGCUCACAAACCUACUCAUCUCCAAGGCUACAGUACAGCAGUCUCCGUGAUGUGCCAAUGUAGACAGUUCCUCCCCCAUUUCUCCAGUCAUCCCUACCCUAAGGGUAGGAAAAUGAACACAGGGCAGAAAGUCCCACGUUUGGUCCUCCUUCUUGAAAAGUCCCCUCUGCAACACCCGAGCAUUCAGUGCAGCUCUGAGCCCCCAGCCCCAUGCAGCACCCCUAGCAGCAGAAGGCCCCUGUGCUGCUGAGGAACUUCUUCCCCACACCCCCUACACCCCCACACCCCCAUCUCCCUGCAGCUACCUGGACGGGAUUCAGCUGAAUCACUUGACAAAUCUUCUGCUGAGGUUGUAGUCCUGGGUCCUGCAGGGGAAUCAGCUCCCUCCCACACCUCCCCCACACCCAGCCGAACCAGCACCGACCACACAACUGGCCACCAGCAACGGGCCCCCUGCAUCCCUCCUCUUCCACUGGCUUCUUUCUCCUCCACCUGCAUUAAUUCCCAUCUUUGUCUGUUGCAGUCACUGUCCAGUUAUCAGCUCUCACUGACUACAUUUCCCUCUUGGAUCCCCGCAAUGCUAUCCCCAUGCUGGCUGUACCUCCCUCUCCCUGACGGAGCUGCCAUCCGUGUCACAGGAGUUGUGCUGCACUCAGUGACAUCUCGGUGUCUGCUGUAAGAAGAAAUACCCUUACAGAUGACAACUCCUUUUUUGGACAGUGCUCCUUGAAAACCUCAUCUGCCACACUGAGACCUCCCUCAUGAGCAAGUCUUGAAGACUGGAGGGAAAUGGCUUGUUAGGUAUUUCAGCACUGUAAUGAGCCCCACAGCGUAUGUGGUGUCUGUUGAGCUUCAGCUACUGAGAGAAGACUGCUGUAGCCAACUGGUGAAGGUGCAGCCAAAAUGCUGUCCAGAAAUGUUGGAGAGUGUUGGAGUAUUAAUUGGUCCCUGUGGGGCCAUUACCAACAAAGCCUCCCCAGAGACGUGUUAGAGCAGAUAACUGGAGACCGUGAUUACAGGCAGGCAAAGGCCCUGUGCAGGUGCUUUGAGUUGAGGAAAGCCCUUGGUUUGUUUGAUGAAACAGAAGGGUUAAGCCAUAGCUGCAGCCUCUGGGAAAGGUGGUCCUGUCCCUCACAGAUGGCCCAACGCUCUCCCACGGUCAGUGGGAUGUGGGUGGGCAGCGUUCUGGGAGGGAGAAUGAUACUACACCUACUGGCCUCCCUACAGGGCUGCAAGGAAACAAGGAGGCCCCAGUGUCACGAGGACAACGUCU